AGCCCCGGGGAGCCGAGGCACACCAGGUUGCCUAAGGAGGGGGUGCCAGCACAUGGUCAGCUAACCGGUACCCGCUCCUGGUUCUUGGGCGAGGGUAUGCCU
rnacentral:miRNA from 7 species